rnacentral:rRNA from 1 species
UAGUCAUAUGCUUGUCUCAGAGAUUAAGCCAUGCAUGUCUAAGUAUAAGCAAUCUUAUACAGCGAAACUGCGAAUGGCUCAUUAAAUCAGUUAUAGUCUACUUGAUCGUAUCUUCUUACAUGGAUAACCGUAGUAAAUCUAGAGCUAAUACAUGCUAAAAAUCCUGGACGCGGCAACGCGGAAGGGACGAGUUUAUUAGAUUAAAAACCGACACCUCUCCGCGAGGGGAGGUAACACAGGUGAUUCACAGUAACCGAUCGGAUCGUCGGCCCCGCCGACGACGAUGCAUACGAGUUUCUGCCCUAUCAACUUUAGAUGGUAGAGUAUCGGUCUACCAUGGUCGUAACGGGUGACGGGGGAUUAGGGUUCGAUUCCGGAGAGGGAGCCUGAGAAACGGCUACCACUUCCAAGGAAGGCAGCAGGCGCGCAAAUUACCCAAUCCCGACACGGGGAGGUAGUGACAAGAAAUACCAUUGUAAUGUCUCCUCGAGAGGCUUACGAUUGGAAUGAGUACAAUUUAAAUCCCUUAACGAGUAACGAUU